rnacentral:rRNA from 1 species
UACGUAGGGUGCAAGCGUUGUCCGGAAUCAUUGGGCGUAAAGCGCGCGUAGGUGGCUUCGUAAGUCCGUUGUGAAAGUCAAAGGCUCAACCUUUGAAAGCCGAUGGAUACUGCGGAGCUAGAGUACGGAAGAGGCGAGUGGAAUUCCUGGUGUAGCGGUGGAAUGCGCAGAUAUCAGGAGGAACACCAAUAGCGAAGGCAGCUCGCUGGGACGUUACUGACACUGAGGCGCGAAAGCGUGGGGAGCGAACAGG